rnacentral:rRNA from 1 species
UACGGGGGGAGCAAGCGUUGUUCGGAUUUACUGGGCGUAAAGGGCGCGUAGGCGGUCAGCACAAGUCAGUUGUGAAAUCUCCGGGCUUAACUCGGAAAGGUCGACUGAUACUGUGCGACUAGAGUGCAGAAGGGGCAACUGGAAUUCUCGGUGUAGCGGUGGAAUGCGCAGAUAUCAGGAGGAACACCGGUGGCGAAGGCGGGUCUCUGGGCAGUAACUGACGCUGAGGAGCGAAAGCGUGGGGAGCGAACAGG